GGCGGGGGAUGCAAUCGUUAUCCGGAAUCACUGGGCGUAAAGCGUCUGUAGGUGGUGAUGCAAGUCACUGGUGCAAAACUCUGGCUCAACCGGAGGAAAGCCAGUGAAACUGCAUGACUAGAGUGUGGGAGAAGUAGAAGGAAUUCCCUGAGUAGCGGUGAAAUGCGUAGAUACAGGGAAGAACACCGGAGGCGAAAGCGUUCUACUGGAACACAACUGACACUGAGAGACGAAAGCUAGGGCAGAGAAUGGG
rnacentral:rRNA from 1 species